CCGGCCCGAGAGGAUCGUCAAACCCUAAUUGCUAGAUUUGUUCAUCGUCUCUCCAUUCCUGCACAUGACGCCUGAGCUUCUGUCCAUGGUUGAAACCGUCGGAAGUCGGAGCUGUAACAUCGUGUUUAAUCCCACAUUCAAUGAUCCUUAUCUCUUCAAGACGGUGUUUCUCAAUCUAUAAAAAGGUACUCCUAUACCCAUAGAACAUCAGUUCAUGAAAAUCCUCAAUAAACACGAUAUUUGCAAUAUAUAAUGGCUAAUUCACCUGUUUUUCCGGUGUCGAGCUGUGUUUGCUCCGAUUCUAGGAAGCUUGAUUCGAAGUCGACCCUCACGCCAACCAUCGUAAAUGUUCACCGUCUCGCCGCCGCUUUUAGGACUGUCUCAAGACUGGUUCAGUGUUCACACCAUAGCUCCUUGAUACAGAUGGUCUAAUCUUUGGAAUGGACGCCUGAGAAGAACCGAAUGUCAGAGCAUCCUAACAAUAUGGGCCUCUGCUAGAAGUGCAGAGUGCUGUAAAAGGGAAAGACAAAGAAAAGGGCAAGUAAUAAAGUGCUGAAAAUUGUAAUCGUUUAGAUCUUGAAGAGGGUGGACGGACUUUAGUACCGCUACAUCAUGGACAUCAUCAAAGAACUUGCUAAGGUGCUCAAAGAUGAUCUCACCCCAAGAAAGAAAUCUACAAAGCUAAUGAUCCAAA